GUAGGUGGCAAGCGUUGUCCGGAAUUAUUGGGCGUAAAGCGCGCGCAGGCGGUUCUUUAAGUCUGAUGUGAAAGCCCACGGCUCAACCGUGGAGGGUCAUUGGAAACUGGAGAACUUGAGUACAGAAGAGGAAAGCGGAAUUCCACGUGUAGCGGUGAAAUGCGUAGAGAUGUGGAGGAACACCAGUGGCGAAGGCGGCUUUCCGGUCUGUAACUGACGCUGAGGCGCGAAAGCGUGGGGAGCAAACAGGGAUUAGAUACCCUGGUAGUCCACGCCGUAAACGACGAGUGCUAAGUGUUAGGGGGUUUCCCGCCCCCCUUAGUGCUGCAGCUAACGCAUUAAGCACUCCGCCUGGGGAGUACGGCCGCAAGGCUG
rnacentral:rRNA from 1 species